rnacentral:ncRNA from 1 species
GGCCACUCGAUGGGAGAAGCCGGACCCUGCUUGGGAGCACCGGUGCCGAAGGAGCAAUCGCCCCCGGAAACUCUCAGGCAAAAGGACCAUCGGGUACCG